GACGGAGGAUGCAAGUGUUAUCCGGAAUCACUGGGCGUAAAGAGUGUGUAGGCGGUGCUCUAAGUUCGGUGUGAAAUCUCCCGGCUCAACUGGGAGGGUGCAUCGAAAACUGGGGUGCUCGAGGGUGGGAGAGGUAAGCGGAAUUCCGGGUGUAGCGGUGGAAUGCGUAGAGAUCCGGAGGAAGACCGGUGGCGAAGGCGGUCUGCUGGGCAGUUUCUGACACUGAUGCGCGACAGCGUGGGGAGCAAACAGG
rnacentral:rRNA from 1 species